rnacentral:rRNA from 1 species
GACGAACGCUGGCGGCGUGCUUAACACAUGCAAGUCGAACGGAAAGGCCCUGCUUUUGUGGGGUGCUCGAGUGGCGAACGGGUGAGUAACACGUGAGUAACCUGCCCUUGACUUUGGGAUAACUUCAGGAAACUGGGGCUAAUACCGGAUAGGAGCUCCUGCUGCAUGGUGGGGGUUGGAAAGUUUCGGCGGUUGGGGAUGGACUCGCGGCUUAUCAGCUUGUUGGUGGGGUAGUGGCUUACCAAGGCUUUGACGGGUAGCCGGCCUGAGAGGGUGACCGGCGACAUUGGGACUGAGAGACGGCCCAGACUCGUACGGGAGGCAGCAGUGGGGAAUAUUGCACAAUGGGCGGAAGCCUGAUGCAGCAACGCCGCGUGCGGGAUGACGGCCUUCGGGUUGUAAACCGCUUUCGCCUGUGACGAAGCGUGCGUGACGGUAAUGGGUAAAGAAGCACCGGCUAACUACGUG